rnacentral:rRNA from 1 species
CGGGUGAGUAAUACAUCGGAACGUGUCUUCUAGUGGGGGAUAACUGCCCGAAAGGGCAGCUAAUACCGCAUGAGACCUGAGGGUGAAAGCGGGGGAUCGCAAGACCUCGCGCUGGAAGAGCGGCCGAUGUCCGAAUAGCUAGUUGGUGAGGUAAAGGCUCACCAAGGCGACGAUCGGUAGCUGGUCUGAGAGGACGACCAGCCACACUGGGACUGAGACACGGCCCAG